AUGAGUUGAGAGGACAGAGUCAAGACCAUACCUCUUCAAUAGCUGGACCACUUGUCAUAGAGCAGCUCCCCUGGAGACUCAGCUGGGUCACAUCAUAGCUGCUGUGAACAUGAAAAACUCCUUAUUGUGUCAAGGCCACUGAGAGUCUAGGGGUUCUGUUUCUCUGUAGAACCUUGACUAAAGCAUGGCUUGAACAACAUGGACCCACUUUCCACCCUGAUUGGGUUCACUUGCCAAGAGGAAGAAAUGAACAUUAAAUGGAUUUAAUUCCAAUUAUGAA